rnacentral:rRNA from 1 species
UACGUAGGGUGCGAGCGUUGUCCGGAAUUAUUGGGCGUAAAGAGCUUGUAGGCGGUUUGUCGCGUCUGCUGUGAAAAUCCGGGGCUCAACCCCGGACUUGCAGUGGGUACGGGCAGACUAGAGUGUGGUAGGGGAGUCGUGGAAUUCCUGGUGUAGCGGUGAAAUGCGCAGAUAUCAGGAGGAACACCGGUGGCGAAGGCGGGACUCUGGGCCGAUA